rnacentral:rRNA from 1 species
CCUACGCGAGGCAGCAGUGGGGAAUAUUGCACAAUGGGGGAAACCCUGAUGCAGCGACGCCGCGUGAGUGAAGAAGUAUUUCGGGAUGUAAAGCUCUAUCAGCAGGGAAGAUAAUGACGGUACCUGACUAAGAAGCCCCGGCUAACUACGUGCCAGCAGCCGCGGUAAUACGUCGGGGGCAAGCGUUAUCCGGAUUUACUGGGUGGAAAGGGAGCGUAGGUGGCAGUGCAAGUCAGAUGGGAAAACCCGGGGCUCAACCCCGGGAGUGCAUUUGAAACUGUCCAGAUGGAGUGUAGGAGAGGUAAGCGGAAUUCCUGGUGUAGCGGUGAAAUGCAUAGAUAUUAGGAGGAACACCAGUGGCGAAGGCGGCUUACUGGACUGUAACUGACGUUGAGGCUCGAAAGCGUGGGGAGCAAACAGGAUUAGAUACCCCAGUAGUC